rnacentral:rRNA from 1 species
GCAUAAGGCCACUUGAACACGCCCGAUCUCGUCCGAUCUCGGAAGCUAAGCAGCGUUGGGCCGGGUUUGUAGUUGGAUGGGAGACCGCCUGGAAAUACCGGUUGCUGUAGGCU